UCAUUGGUGGUUCAGUGGUAGAAUGCUCGCCUGCCACGCGGGCGACCCUGGUUGAUUCCCGGCCAAUGCA